UACGUAGGGGCCGAGCGUUGUCCGGAGUUAUUGGGCGUAAAGCGCGCGCAGGGCGGCCUCGCGCGCCCGACGUGAAAGCCCCCGGCUUAACCGGGGAGGGUCGUUGGGGACGGCGGGGCUUGAGGGCGGGAGAGGGUGGUGGAAUUCCCGGUGUAGUGGUGAAAUGCGCAGAUAUCAGGAGGAACACCAAUGGCGAAGGCAGCUCGCUGGGACGGUACUGACGCUGAGACGCGAAAGCGUGGGGAGCAAACAGG
rnacentral:rRNA from 1 species